rnacentral:rRNA from 1 species
AACGUAGGAGACAAACGUUAUCCGGAGUUACUGGGCGUAAAGGGCUCGUAGGCGGCGUGUCGCGUCGGGAGUGAAAGCCCGUUGCUUAACGGCGGGUUGGCUUUCGGUACGGGCAUGCUGGAGUGCGGCAGGGGAGACUGGAAUUCCUGGUGUAGCGGUGGAAUGCGCAGAUAUCAGGAGGAACACCGAUUGCGAAGGCAGCUCACUAAACUGUAACUGACGCUGAGGCACGAAAGCGUGGGGAGCAAACAGG